UACGUAGGGAGCAAGCGUUGUCCGGAAUCAUUGGGCGUAAAGCGCGCGUAGGUGGCUUCGUAAGUCCGCUGUGAAAGUCAAAGGCUCAACCUUUGAAAGCCGGUGGAUACUGUGAAGCUAGAGUCCGGAAGAGGAGAGUGGAAUUCCUGGUGUAGCGGUGAAAUGCGCAGAUAUCAGGAAGAACACCCGUGGCGAAGGCGGCUCUCUGGGACGGUACUGACGCUGAGACGCGAAAGCGUGGGGAGCGAACAGG
rnacentral:rRNA from 1 species